CCUGGGGUUGCUGCCAGCAAUGAAAAAAAUCUAGUGUGGUCACGCGUGCCUGUAAUCCCAGGACUGGGGACGUACAGGCAGGAGGAUCGGGGAGUUCAGAGCCAGCCCAGGAUACAUGAGAAGCUGACUUAUAAAGAAAAAAAAAAAAAAAAAAAAGGGACAGAAAACGGAGAGGCCACGAUCUGUGUUCCUUCAGAUGCUCUUGGAAGCACCCUUAUCUCGAUGUCUCCUUCAAUCGUAUACAAAGCAACUCAAAAUGGAUGGAAGUGUGGAUGCUGGAGCUGAAACUAAGCUUCUUGAAGGAACCAGGGAAGCCUGAGGAUUCUGGGACUGGCAAGAACUUCUGGAUGGCAUCCAAGUUAACUCUGGGAAGUUGACACAACCUCAGAAGGGAGUUUCAAUUGAGGAGAAUGGCCAGAUCAGAUUGGCCUGUGGGCAUGACUGUGGGACUGUCUUGAUUAUUGAGGUGGGGGGCCCAGCCCUCUGUGGAAGACACCAUUCCUUGGUCAGGACGUCCUGAGCUGUAUGAGGACGCUGGCUAAUAAGCAUGCGUCUGCAAGCUAGCAGUAACCAGUCCUUCUCAUUCAAGUUCUUGCUUGGACUCCUGCCCUGGAUUUCCCUCUGUGACAGACUCUAACCUGUAA